GACGGAGGGUGCAAGCGUUGUUCGGAAUUACUGGGCGUAAAACGCGUGUCGGCGGCUUGCUAAGUCUGAUGUGAAAGCCCGGGGCUCACCCCCGGAAGUGCAUUGGAAACUGGCGAGCUCGAGUCCCGGAGAGGAGGGUGGAAUUCCUGGUGUAGCGGUGAAAUGCGUAGAUAUCAGGAGGAACACCGGUGGCGAAGGCGGCCCUCUGGACGGUGACUGACGCUGAGACGCGAAAGCGUGGGGAGCAAACAGG
rnacentral:rRNA from 1 species